rnacentral:rRNA from 1 species
UGGGGAAUUUUGGACAAUGGGCGAAAGCCUGAUCCAGCAAUGCCGCGUGUGUGAAGAAGGCCUUCGGGUUGUAAAGCACUUUUGUCCGGAAAGAAAUCCUUGGCUCUAAUACAGUCGGGGGAUGACGGUACCGGAAGAAUAAGCACCGGCUAACUACGUGCCAGCAGCCGCGGUAAUACGUAGGGUGCAAGCGUUAAUCGGAAUUACUGGGCGUAAAGCGUGCGCAGGCGGUUUGCUAAGACCGAUGUGAAAUCCCCGGGCUCAACCUGGGAACUGCAUUGGUGACUGGCAGGCUAGAGUAUGGCAGAGGGGGUAGAAUUCCACGUGUAGCAGUGAAAUGCGUAGAGAUGUGGAGAAUACCGAUGGCGAAGGCAGCCCCUGGGCCAAUACUGACGCUCAUGCACGAAAGCGUGGGGAGCAAACAGGAUUAGAUACCCUGGUAGUCCACGUCCUAAACGAUGUCAACUAGUUGUUGGGGAUUCAUUUCCUUAGUAACGUAGCUAACGCGUGAAGUUGACCGCCUGGGGAGUACGGUCGCAAGAUU